rnacentral:tRNA from 1 species
GCGCCUGUAGCUCAGCUGGACAGAGCAGCGGCCUUCUAAGCCGCGAGCCGCAGGUUCGAGUCCUGCCAGGCGCG